AGUAACGCGUGAGCAACCUGCCUAUGACAGUGGGAUAGCCUCGGGAAACCGGGAGUUAAUACCGCAUAAAAUCGUAGAAACACAUGUUUCAACGGUCAAAGAUUUAUCGGUCAUAGAUGGGCUCGCGUCUGAUUAGCUAGUUGGUGAGAUAACAGCCCACCAAGGCGACGAUCAGUAGCCGGUCUGAGAGGAUGAACGGCCACAUUGGAACUGAGACACAGUCCAA
rnacentral:rRNA from 1 species